rnacentral:rRNA from 1 species
AAGUGACAGCAGCAGCCGCGGUAAUACGUAGGUGGCAAGCGUUAUCCGGAAUUAUUGGGCGUAAAGCGCGCGUAGGCGGUUUCUUAAGUCUGAUGUGAAAGCCCACGGCUCAACCGUGGAGGGUCAUUGGAAACUGGGAAACUUGAGUGCAGAAGAGGAAAGUGGAAUUCCAUGUGUAGCGGUGAAAUGCGCAGAGAUAUGGAGGAACACCAGUGGCGAAGGCGACUUUCUGGUCUGUAACUGACGCUGAUGUGCGAAAGCGUGGGGAUCAAACAGGAUUAGAUACCCCCGUAGUCCCUGUCUCUUAUAA